rnacentral:rRNA from 1 species
GACGAACGCUGGCGGCGUGCUUAAAACAUGCAAGUCGAACGGGGUCCAACCAGUCGCAAGACUGGGGAAGACCUAGUGGCGAACGGGUGCGUAACACGUGGGGAACCCGCCCCGGAGACCGGGAUAACCCUCCGAAAGGAGAGCUAAUACCGGAUGUGCUCACCGAGUCGCAUGGCUUGGUGAGGAAAUGGAUUCCGCUUCGGGAUGGUCUCGCGGCCUAUCAGCUUGUUGGUGGGGUAACGGCUCACCAAGGCGACGACGGGUAGCUGGUCUGAGAGGACGAUCAGCCACACUGGGACUGAGACACGGCCCAGACUCCUACGGGAGGCAGCAGUUAGGAAUCUUGCGCAAUGGGCGAAAGCCUGACGCAGCAACGCCGCGUGGGGGAUGAAGGCUCUCGGGUUGUAAACCCCUUUCAGCAGGGACGAUUGUGACGGUACCUGCAGAAGAAGGACCGGCCAACUACGUGCCAGCAGCCGCGGUAAUACGAAGGUCCGAGCGUGUCGGAUCAGUU